AUUGAACGCUGGCGGCAGGCUUAACACAUGCAAGUCGAGCGGGGGAAGGUAGCUUGCUACCGGACCUAGCGGCGGACGGGUGAGUAAUGCUUAGGAAUCUGCCUAUUAGUGGGGGACAACAUCUCGAAAGGGAUGCUAAUACCGCAUACGUCCUACGGGAGAAAGCAGGGGAUCUUCGGACCUUGCGCUAAUAGAUGAGCCUAAGGCGGAUUAGCUAGUUGGUGGGGUAAAGGCCUACCAAGGCGACGAUCUGUAGCGGGUCUGAGAGGAUGAUCCGCCACACUGGGACUGAGACACGGCCCAGACUUCUCCGGGAGGCAGCAGUGUGGAAUAUUGGACAAUGGGGGGAACCCUGAUCCAGCCAUGCCGCGUGUGUGAAGAAGGCCUUAUGGUUGUAAAGCACUUUAAGCGAGGAGGAGGCUACUUUAGUUAAUACCUAGAGAUAGUGGACGUUACUCGCAGAAUAAGCACCGGCUAACUCUGUGCCAGCCGCCGCAGUAA
rnacentral:rRNA from 1 species